UACGUAGGGUGCGAGCGUUGUCCGGAAUUACUGGGCGUAAAGAGCUCGUAGGUGGUUUGUCGCGUUGUUCGUGAAAACUCACAGCUCAACUGUGGGCGUGCGGGCGAUACGGGCAGACUAGAGUACUGCAGGGGAGACUGGAAUUCCGUGGUGUAGCGGUGAAUGCGCAGAUAUCAGGAGGAACACCGGUGGCGAAGGCGGGUCUCUGGGCAGUAACUGACGCUGAGGAGCGAAAGCGUGGGGAGCGAACAGG
rnacentral:rRNA from 1 species